rnacentral:rRNA from 1 species
CCUACGGGAGGCAGCAGUGGGGAAUUUUGGACAAUGGGCGCAAGCCUGAUCCAGCAAUGCCGCGUGAGUGAAGAAGGCCUUCGGGUUGUAAAGCUCUUUUGUCAGGGAAGAAACGGUGUUUUCUAAUACAGAAUGCUAAUGACGGUACCUGAAGAAUAAGCACCGGCUAACUACGUGCCAGCAGCCGCGGUAAUACGUAGGGUGCAAGCGUUAAUCGGAAUUACUGGGCGUAAAGCGUGCGCAGGCGGUUUUGUAAGUCUGUCGUGAAAUCCCCGGGCUCAACCUGGGAAUGGCGAUGGAGACUGCAAGGCUAGAAUCUGGCAGAGGGGGGUAGAAUUCCACGUGUAGCAGUGAAAUGCGUAGAUAUGUGGAGGAACACCGAUGGCGAAGGCAGCCCCCUGGGCUAAGAUUGACGCUCAUGCACGAAAGCGUGGGGAGCAAACAGGAUUAGAUACCCUGGUAGUCCACGCCCUAAACGAUGUCUACUAGUUGUCGGGUCUUAAUUGACUUGGUAACGCAGCUAACGCGUGAAGUAGACCGCCUGGGGAUACGGUCGCAAGNUUAAAACUUAAAUGAAUUGACGG